UUCUAUUUUCCCUUCAUCACUGACCACUCUCAUAUAAAGGCAUGACAUUAUUUUUUCUCUUUGGUUUAUUAUUGUUAUUAUUUUAUAUUUUUUAAUGUUUCAGGUCCUAUGUACUGCAAUUUCAUCGCAACUGUGCCUUUAAGUGAAUCGUACUACUUUAAUUUAACAGUAUUCUCAUUUGUAAGGCGAACCAAAAAUUCAAGGGUUUUUUUUGUUCUUCUGCGAGAUUGAAAACGUUGAGAUUCAACAAGAUCAAUCGCUUCGCUUUUCCAGACUAUUUCAUGGGAAUUUUAUUUUAUUUUAAUUAGUAUUUGCAUUUUGAAGAGUUUUGAUUAAAGCAAGAGAAACCUUGAUCCUUCCUUGGGUGUUCCUUAAGUUUUUCUUUCACUUUCCCCCCCUUUUGCUUCUUGCUUAAGAUAUGAAUCAUGGCGAGAAAAAAAGCUGCACGAUUUUUGCUUCAAGAAAUCCUCAGGGACAACUAGCUAGGAAUAAUGUUUCAAGCCAAGUGAGACGACUUUGAUUCUGAAAAUUCUGCAAUAUCUAUCUGGGUGGACUCCUGUAUAUUGUACUUCUUCUGCCUUUAGACUAUUUCCCAAGGUAGGGAAGUUACAGAUAUGUGGUAUGGAAGAGAACUUCAGAAGUAGUAACAAGAACAACCUCUUCCAUGAUCUUUCAUCUGGAUUUUACCUUGAUCCACUACCUUUGUUCCUUCCUCGUGCUGAUGCUUUUCAACAAAACCUUAAGAGUUUAGCUUUUAAAAAAAAAAAAAAAUGCGGUGGAAGGAUUUUAGCAUUAUCGGUUAUAAGUUGCCUAAACUCGAGGCUCUUAAAUUAGCAUAUGUUUCCAGCAAAGGCAAUGACUGAAAGUAUUUGAGAAGGAUUCCCUCGCUUGAAGUUUUGCUACUGAAAGGCUUGGCCUUUCUUACUGGAGAGCCUAUGGUGAUCACUUUCCCUUGGGAACUCCGCCAAGCGGAUUCAAUAGGACAUUGAAGAUAAUCACGCAAGUUCUUUGGAGAUCUUGCAGAAAGAAGUUAUUGCAUAAAACACAUACGAGAGCACUAUACAACAAUCAAUGCAAAUUACUGAUGUAUUUUGUUGUAGUUCUAUUAAAAAGGUUGAAUCCUCGAGAGCUAUUAUGGAGAAACCUUGCAAUAUAACAAGCAAAGGUGAUCUUGGGGCAUUGACAAUAUUGGAAGCUGAACUCCUAGACCUAGCAUGCACUAUUGAAGAUAUAGUUGACUCGAGAUCAAAUCAAGUUUUCCUGGCAGAAACCGCAGAGGAACGAAUCAGUGCUUUGUGACUAAAUCUCCUCUUGGAACAAGCAGUAGAAUGCAUUGAUUCCACCAUGAAGCAUUGGAUGGCAAUAGGAGGCAGGUACAACAACAUCCAAAAUCUGAAAGCACAAAAUUUGUCUCCUGCCUAUGUAUCUGUACAUGCUAUAGAGCCCGAGAAUAUGAUGAUUGGCCAUGAAAAUGAAUUCGAGAUGAUGUAGGAUCAACUUGGUCGAGGAGAAAGGGAACGGGAGGCAUCGGCAAGACAACUUUGGCUAAUAAAACCUACAGCGAUCCAUUAAUUCGGCCUCACUUUGACAUUCAUGCAAAAGCUAUUGUUUCACAAGAGUAUUGUGCGAGAAAUGUACUCUUAGGCCUUUUCUUCUAUAAGUGAUGAACCUUAUGAUGAGCUAGAUGAUGGCAACUAGCAGAUCGACUGCAAAAGCUUCUAAAAGGCAAUACAUACUUGGUAGUCAUAGUGACAUAUGGACUAAGGAGCUUGUGAUAUAAAACAAUGUUUCCCAGUAUGUAAUAAUGGAAGCCGAAUUCUCUUGACUACUCUGAAUAUAGAAAUGGCUUAAUAUGCUUGGGAAAUAAAUUCCAUUAAACUGCAGCGGAUUGCCGCUAGCAAUUG